rnacentral:rRNA from 1 species
UACGUAGGGUGCAAGCGUUGUCCGGAAUUAUUGGGCGUAAAGAGCUUGUAGGCGGUUUGUCGCGUCUGCUGUGAAAUUUCGGGGCUCAACCCCGAACUUGCAGUGGGUACGGGCAGACUAGAGUUCGGCAGGGGAGACUGGAAUUCCUGGUGUAGCGGUGAAAUGCGCAGAUAUCAGGAGGAACACCGGUGGCGAAGGCGGGUCUCUGGGCCGAUACUGACGCUGAGGAGCGAAAGCGUGGGGAGCGAACAGG